rnacentral:RNase_P_RNA from 1 species
AGAGUCGCCCGGAUCACCGCGUUACGAAAGUACCGAGGAAAGUCCGGACUCCGAAGAGCAAAGUGGUGGCUAACAGCCACCCGGAGCAAUCCGCGGGAUAAGUGCCACAGAAAAUAAACCGCCGUUAGCAAUAACGGUAAGGAUGAAACGGUGGUGUAA